GCAGCACACCAGCGUUUUAGCCUUCACUGAACUGUGGUUGCACAGCAUCAAGGCCGCCUCUGUUUCUCAUUCUGCCCUCCCACCAGGGCAAACAGGCUGGGGGUGCGCAAGAGGCUAAGAGUGGAAGCAGCCAGGACAACUGGCCAAGGUGAUGGAAAGGACAUGCUGGACCCACAGCAUCCCACUCAGCAAUAAAACCAGGCUGUGGGCAGGAAGUUUCUUCCAAAGUAGCUGUUACUCAGAGACUGGCUGGGCACCGAUCUGUUAGUGGGAGGUGGAAGGAGCGAGUGAGCAAAUGGCAGUGGAGGCUUCACUGCUGACUAGGAUCAACCCACCACAUUUCUUCUUUCCCAGCUCACUCUCUGGUAUCAGCAGCUUCUUGUGGAACACAACUGAUGUAUUUAGUGAGCAUUUUGCCCCAGGGAGGAGUGAAGUGCAUGAAAGAGGGAGAUGGUGCAAAGCUCUUUCUGCAUCAUGUGAAGAAAGGAAACAUGAAGAAUCAUGUUUUUUUGGCAACAAAAACCAGCUUAAUAAAAUAGCCAUUUUAGUAAGAUGAAAUAAAAUCCAUCCUGUCCCUUCUGAUGCUGAGCACCAUGCACUGAAUCAGCAGUGAAUGGAGCCUGCAUGGUACUUUCCCAUGGCACACUGUGCAGAUCUCACCUGUGGAAACAUUCCUCUAUCACAUAUUUUCUUAAGAGAAAGCAGCUCUGCUCCUGAAGGUUGUUGAGAUGAGAACUUCUGGCUGUGUUGUUGGACAUGGGCAAGGACGUGCAGGUGGAUUGGGAGCUGCCGAUGGACUCCUCUGCUGCAGCCAACUGCUGAGGUGACCUCGAGGCCAUGGGACACACCAAAGGCAUCCCCAGAGCAGGUGGGGAAGAAAUAAUAGCAGCCAGCUGGACCUGUUUGACAGAAGAUCAGGCUAUGGGUUAAGCACUCCUGGUUCAGCUUCUUACCUGUAGCUGCUUACUCUGGUAAGAAGAUGAACCAGGACUGCUGUUUGUCUAUUUUCCCACUCUGAACUUUGCCCUUUGUUUACAAAGCUGUAAUGGUUUUAAGAAGGGUUCAUGUAUCUCUGCCAGCUGUCAGGCUGAUUCCUGCUCUGGAAUGUUUGCUUUAGGGCUUUUUCUCCAUUUGUCAGUGGAGAUGGUAGCAGUCCAAGUACAGAGAGGAGUCUAAUCAUCAACCUCCAUGGACCUGGUUCCUGCUCCCCAGUGCAAAGUAUGUGACUACUGCCCAGGGAUGGGCUUGCAGACUUGGCCAUGUUUGUCAGAGCUCUUCCUUGGAAGUGCAGAGGGUGUUCCUCUGCAUGCAGGUGGUUGCUCCACUCAUGCUGAUAUUCACUGUUCUGUUUGCAAAGACCGGUGCAGAAGAAGAAAGGAAGAGAGGUGAAGAUUGCAAUAAAACUGUAUCUCCUAUAAAUGCUAGCUUGACUCUGUCCAUCAGCUGCCAAAAGGGGCUCACCAGUGCUAGGAGGGGCCAGGAGGUAGCUUCUGCCACCAGUUGCAACAGGGUUGCUUUAAAAAAAAUUAAAAUUUGAGAAAAGGGACCAGCUGAUUUAGUGAUAAUACAUUAUGGUAGGAAAGACCAAUUUCAAGACACUGAAGACCCAUAUACUUGUUUUAUGAACAGUACAGUGAAUAUUUCUUUUUAAUCUCCCCAUGGCUGUAGUUGUAGAAUGAAAUAUAUAAUGUGAUAAUUGAAGGGAAUUUGGCUACCAUAGGGAUUCAGUUUAUCCUUAUGACAAUGUUUAUUGUGCAAUGUGUUCAAGAAGUAACUUAGAGCUUAUCUGCGCUUUAGCAGGGUCUUGCAGGGACUUCAUAUGCUUGCUUCUGUGAAACAGCAUUUGUCUAAUGUAGAAUAUAAAAUAAUUUUAAUACUCAUCUUUCAAAAUCAAUUGACAGAACAACAGACUGGUUGGGAGAUUGCAGCAAUCUGCUAUUUUUGCUAUUGCAGUAGCUACAAGUGAAGUACCAACAGCUGUUCUCCUCCUCCUUGUGAAAAACUGCAAAGAGGUGGUUAAGGCUUGUCAUGAAGCUGGUCCAUUGGGUGGUUCAUUCCUGUGUCCUGUUGGUCCCAGUGUCAUCCUGAUAGGAAUAUGACCAUUUGGAGCCAAUUGUAGAAAUGGGGCUCUGCUUAAUUUUUUAAAGUGAGUGGACCUAUUUGCAAAAACUAAACCUUAUACAGUAAUUUUCGCUGCCUCUGCCAACAUUAAAGUUAAAAGCCCUUUGAAAACAUCCCGUGUCUGUUCACCAUUUUCAGCUUGCUUAAACCAUAUCCAAAGAUACUACAGGAACAUUUCUUAUCAUAUUUCUUAAUCUGAAAUAAAUUAAACUUCUCAUUAUGUUUGGAGGUUUGGGUUCUACAUUGUCAUCAAAACAUUAACUGCUAGAAGCUAGUUCAUAACUAGGUGGCUAGAGCUGCUCACAUAAUCAAUUUCAACUCUCCUACAGCAGAUGUCCUAAAAGGAUUAAUUUAGUCUUCAAAGAUCUGGUGUGAAACUUUGUCUGCUUCUGUUUUCUGAAUGGGUAAUGUAGUUCUAGGAUAGAGAUUUUUUUUUUCCUAAUGGGGGAAUUUUGCCAGUCUGCGUGAAAAAAUAAAUGUACCUGUUCUUUUUCUCCUCACUUGAA